GUUUGGUUCUCUCGUAUUCUCUGUCUGCGUACCAGGCCAGGUCCGGAAGGAAGCAACCAGCGUGGAAUUUGGGAAGUACCGAGAUGCAGCUAGGCCCC
rnacentral:SRP_RNA from 1 species